rnacentral:rRNA from 1 species
CAGCCGCCACGGGAAUACGGAGGGUGCAAGCGUUAAUCGGAAUUACUGGGCGUAAAGCGCACGCAGGCGGUCUGACAAGUCAGAUGUGAAAUCCCCGGGCUUAACCUGGGAACUGCAUUUGAAACUGUCAGGCUGGAGUCUUGUAGAGGGGGGUAGAAUUCCAGGUGUAGCGGUGAAAUGCGUAGAGAUCUGGAGGAAUACCGGUGGCGAAGGCGGCCCCCUGGACAAAGACUGACGCUCAGGUGCGAAAGCGUGGGGAGCAAACAGGAUUAGAUACCCGUGUAGUCCCUGUCUCUUAUAC